UACGUAGGUGGCAAGCGUUGUCCGGAUUUACUGGGCGUAAAGAGCGCGCAGGCGGUCGGAUAAGUCGAAUGUGAAAGCCCCCGGCUCAACUGGGGAGGGUCACGCGAUACUGAUCGACUCGAAGGCAGGAGAGGGAAGUGGAAUUCCCGGUGUAGUGGUGAAAUGCGUAGAUAUCGGGAGGAACACCAGUGGCGAAGGCGGCUCGCUGGGCCAUUCCUGGACGCUGAGACGCGAAAGCUAGGGG
rnacentral:rRNA from 1 species